GUGGGGAAUAUUGGACAAUGGGCGAAAGCCUGAUCCAGCCAUGCCGCGUGAGUGAUGAAGGUCUUCGGAUCGUAAAGCUCUGUGGGAAGGGACGAAAAAUGCCGACCUAAUACGUCGGACCUUGACGGUACCUUCUUAGCAAGCACCGGCUAACUCCGUGCCAGCAGCCGCGGUAAUACGGAGGGUGCAAACGUUGCUCGGAAUCAUUGGGCGUAAAGCGCACGUAGGCGGUUCGGUAAGUCGGAUGUGAAAUCCCUCGGCUCAACCGAGGAAGUGCAUCCGAAACUGCCGAGCUUGAGUACGGAAGAGGGUCUCGGAAUUCCCGGUGUAGAGGUGAAAUUCGUAGAUAUCGGGAGGAACACCAGUGGCGAAGGCGGAGACCUGGGCCGAUACUGACGCUGAGGUGCGAAAGCGUGGGGAGCAAACAGGAUUAGAAACCCCGGUAGUCC
rnacentral:rRNA from 1 species